AUUGAACGCUGGCGGCAUGCCUUACACAUGCAAGUCGAACGAGAACGGAAUAUAGCUUGCUAUAUUUGUCAGCUAAGUGGCGCACGGGUGAGUAAUGUAUAGAUAACCUGCCCUUAAGAAAGGAAUAACAGUUGGAAACGACUGCUAAUGCCCUAUAUGCCUUUAAUACAUAAGUAUGCAAGGGAAACGCUUUAGUGCUUAAGGAUGGGUCUGUAUGGUAUCAGCUUGUUGGUGAGGUAAUGGCUCACCAAGGCUAUGACGCCUAACUGGUUUGAGAGGAUGAUCAGUCACACUGGAACUGAGACACGGUCCAGACUCCUACGGGAGGCAGCAGUGGGGAAUAUUGCACAAUGGACGAAAGUCUGAUGCAGCAACGCCGCGUGGAGGAUGACACAUUUCGGUGCGUAAACUCCUUUUAUAUAGGAAGAUAAUGACGGUACUAUAUGAAUAAGCACCGGCUAACUCCGUGCCAGCCGCCGCCGUAA
rnacentral:rRNA from 1 species